GGAGGUACAGCUCAGUGUCUAGAGUACAUGCUUAGCAUGCAGGAGGUCCUGGGUUCAAUCCCUAGUGCCGCCA
rnacentral:tRNA from 1 species